AGGCCAUAUCACGUUGAAAUUCCGGUUCUCGUAUGAUCACAAAAGUUGAGCAACGUCGCGCCUGGUUAGUACCUAGAAGGGUGACUGCUUGGGAAUACCAGUUGUAGU